rnacentral:lncRNA from 1 species
GAGGAGAUUGUUGGUCUUGGGCCUUAUUUUCUUCCAUCCCAACUUUGGGCUUGUGCUGGUCACGUGCCCAACUAAAGGGGACAGCUGACGGGUGGGGUUUUACCCCUUGAUUUCUCAUGCAGCAGAGAAGGGGCUGAGGCUUCAAAAGGAAAAAAAGGGAAGAAGGGAGAAGAGGGAGGAAGAAAAGAAGAAGAAGCUACUGGUCUUGCCUUUCUCUUGUGCUCCACCACAGUUCCGGAGAUUGGGAUUACUCUUUGAUCUCUUCCAAGUGGGUAUCCUUUGGGAGGCCUUGAUGUGGUGAGGAAGUAGGAUUUUUCAUCCUAGUUAGGUAAUCUCUGUAUCUCCCUCUAUUUUGUGGACACCUCAAAGUAUUUUUUUGGGCAAAACUUAAGAAGAACUCUCUUGUAUUUGCUUGUUGAUAUAGUGGAUUCUUCGUUGGUUGGCCCCGUGGUUUUUUCCCCCAAUCUUAUGGGGGUUUCCACGUAAAUUUGUUGUCUUUUUAUGUGGUUUGCUUGGCUCUAUCUUGUGAGAUUAUUACUUGCUUGGAUUAUUGUUGUUUGCUCCGUUGCUAUACCC